AUGCUGAAACUACCAAGUGAUGUUCUUGAUCCAUUCAGCAGGCAAAACAAAGAAGAAACUGAAUCAAAAGACAAUUUGGACCCUCCCAAAAUUGGAGCCAGGACUUCAGCAGAGCAUGGUGGAAGUGCAGAUCUUGGCACUGCAGUGUCGACCAUCCUGGUGGUCAGGUGGUGUGUCGUUGAACGGCCCAAGGUGACGACGGUGAACUGCUUGGGUGCUUCGGCUACAGAGCCCCACCGGGAGGAGGAGGUGGAGGAGGGGCAUGGAUCCAGGGACGGCGACUCGUCGACGGGCAGGGGGUGGCUUGGGGGUGGCCCGUGUGUGAUCCUGCUCGAGAGGGUGGCCGUCGAUCCGCGGGUGCGUCGGUGGCUGGCGAGGUUGGAUCUUGGCAGCGAGGAACAUCGGUAG
rnacentral:rRNA from 1 species